rnacentral:rRNA from 1 species
CAGCCGCCGCGGGAAUACGUAGGUGGCGAGCGUUGUCCGGAAUUAUUGGGCGUAAAGGGAGCGCAGGCGGACAUAUAAGUCCAUCUUAAAAGUGCGGGGCUCAACCCCGUGAGGGGAUGGAAACUGUAUGCCUUGAGUGCAGGAGAGGAAAGCGGAAUUCCCAGUGUAGCGGUGAAAUGCGUAGAUAUUGGGAGGAACACCAGUGGCGAAGGCGGCUUUCUGGACUGUAACUGACGCUGAGGCUCGAAAGCCAGGGGAGCGAACGGGAUUAGAUACCCCCGUAGUCCCUGUCUCUUAUACA